UUUUAGUGUAAAUAAAUUAACUAAAACUACUAUAAGUUAUGGUCUUUAAAAUUAAAAAAUUUGGCGGUAUUUUAGUCUAUUCAGAGGAACCUGUUUUUUAAUCGAUAGUCCACGAUAAUUUAUACUUUAACUUUAAAUUUAUAUAUCGUCGUUAAUAAAAAUUUUAGGAAAAUUUAAAUUUUUAGGAUUUUUAAUUAGAAUUGAAUUCAGAUCAAGGUGUAGUUUAUGUUGAAGUUGGAAUGGGUUACAUUAUAUUUAUAUGUGGUUUUUUAAUUUAAAAUUAAAUUUAAAAUGGAUUUGAUAGUAAAUUCUUUAUUUUUAAGAGUUGAUUGAGCUCUAAAAUAUGC
rnacentral:rRNA from 1 species